rnacentral:rRNA from 1 species
UACGAAGGGGGCUAGCGUUGCUCGGAAUCACUGGGCGUAAAGCGCACGUAGGCGGCUUCUUAAGUCGGUGGUGAAAUCCUGGAGCUCAACUCCAGAACUGCCUUCGAUACUGGGAAUCUUGAGUCCGGAAGAGGUGAGUGGAACUGCGAGUGUAGAGGUGAAAUUCGUAGAUAUUCGCAAGAACACCAGUGGCGAAGGCGGCUCACUGGUCCGGUACUGACGCUGAGGUGCGAAAGCGUGGGGAGCAAACAGG